CAGUAGCCACGGUAAUACGAAGGGGGCUAGCGUUGUUCGGAAUUACUGGGCGUAAAGGGCGCGUAGGCGGCCAUUCAAGUUAGAUGUGAAAGCCCUGGGCUCAACCUAGGAAUUGCAUUUGAUACUGUUUGGCUUGAGUUCGGGAGAGGUGAGUGGAAUUCCCAGUGUAGAGGUGAAAUUCGUAGAUAUUGGGAAGAACACCAGUGGCGAAGGCGGCUCACUGGACCGACACUGACGCUGAGGCGCGAAAGCGUGGGGAGCAAACAGGAUUAGAUACCCGGUAGUCCCUGUCUCUUAUACA
rnacentral:rRNA from 1 species